GUUUUACCUCCUGGCUUACCUCCUGGCUUUCUUGCUUUAGUUAGGCCAGCCUUCGCUUUCAUCUAUCAGAAGAGCUCUCUUUUUAUCACUGGACCCUUGCAAUCACUUGCACUCAGGCAGCAGGAGUUACCCCCACCUUCAGAGAACCAGCCUACCACUGCUGCUUUCCCAGCAGUUUCUGGGGAAGAGGUCUUUAUGUCAACAGAACCUAUGGAGACCAGUGCCCACAGAUUGGAGUAACUAGGUCUGUGUGGCAGCCGUGAAAGUGCCUGGCUCACAUCUCCUUUCAAGAGAACCUGCUGUGAGGAGAGAAUUGGCUGAUAGGUCCCAGCUGCUGCACCUCAGUCUGCUAUGAGCAAACGCAAUGAGCUGGGUAACUUGUGACACAUGUUCACCUAUGGAGGACCAAACACUCGAUGGAGCUGGGUUUUCAGCUCAGCCCCACCACCUCUUUGGCGCUGCUGGUACUCUCGGAUCUCACCAAACUUGUUGCGGUAAGCAGAGAGAAGACGCUCCAAGGGGUCCCGCACAAACAGGAACUUGAAGUAGUGCUGGAGGCGGUAGCGAAUCUCGUCAGGCCGCAGGUCGGCCAGGAACACCAGGUCGCUGCGGUGGUCCAUCUUGAGGCGGACGUCCACGUUGUCCAGGACUCCCGCCAGCACCUUCAGAACCCGCUUCCAGUUGGAGCAGGCCACCUUGGGCACAUAGCAGUAGAGGAAGCGGUAGCGGUCACUCACGAGGAUGUGGCGCAGCAGGGUGCGCCGCUGCCCCACCGGCAAGUCCCAGGGGUCCCGGGGCAUGCCCGGUUGUCCGCACACUGCCCGCAAGGUCCGGUUCCGGACGUCCUGCCUCACCUGCAGGUCCGAGUUCCCCGCAUCCAGGGACAGCCUCCCAGGCCUGGGGACUGUCCCGCGCCAGACCGCGUCCUCGCGAUUGGGAGGGUGCAGGGGAAGGGGCUUCAUCUCGGCCAGGAUGCCCCGCUCGAUCAUGAGCAGCAGCCCGCUGGAAGCCACGAUCACCGCGAACAUCAGCAUGGACGGCAGCAGGAGGGGCGGCCCGCCCAGCCCAGGCCGGGCCCUGCCCAGGGGCGCCCGCCUCAGCGCCCGGCCCAGGGGCUCGGCGCCUUCUGGGGCCGCCAGCGGGGUCAGCGGGCGGGGGAACAUUGUGC
ensembl:lncRNA CHST14 carbohydrate sulfotransferase 14